UUGACAACAACUGACAUUCAAACCAGGAGGGACACCUUGUCUCCUGCCCUCCCCCACCAACACAGUGCAUUGCAGCAGGGGACAAAUCUGCACUGUUUUUCCCUUGCAAGGGCUGGGACGUGCUUUGCUGUGAGAAGUUGCAGUUGGAUCCAGCCCCACACAGUACAUACUACACCCCAAAAACUUCCUUGGUAAAAUGGCAUCUGACACUGCAGCCUGAUCAAGUGAGCUAAGAAGACUGUAUCGAUACUGUGGUAAUUAUUCACCAUUUAGCUCUUCUAAUUGAGUAAUAAAUAGUCCAGGAAGCAGCAGAUAGACUUCUAGGUAAACAUGUUGAAAAAGUGGAUGCACAUUCCAGAGAAAAAUAAACUGAAGAGAAAGGUCUCUUAUUUA